GCCCCUGUGGUGUAAAGGAUAGCACAAAGGUCUUCGGAACCUUUGGUCAGGGUUCGAAUCCUUGCAGGGGUA
rnacentral:tRNA from 1 species